AAAUUGAAGAGUUUGAUCAUGGCUCAGAUUGAACGCUGGCGGCAGGCCUAACACAUGCAAGUCGAACGGUAACAGGAAGCAGCUUGCUGCUUYGCUGACGAGUGGCGGACGGGUGAGUAAUGUCUGGGAAACUGCCUGAUGGAGGGGGAUAACUACUGGAAACGGUGGCUAAUACCGCAUAACGUCGCAAGACCAAAGAGGGGGACCUUCGGGCCUCUUGCCAUCAGAUGUGCCCAGAUGGGAU
rnacentral:rRNA from 1 species